CUUGCAUUUUGAGGGUAAUAAAGUUAACUGAAAGACUUCAACUCUCAUGGAUUUUGCCAAGUAUCCAGACUGCAUGGAGGGACUCGGAGACAGAUUCAUGAAAUGCACAAUGGAAUCUAGGACAAGAUCAAACUCCGAUGCCAACCUUAAGGAUAUGCUCCAUAUGCCUCCAGAUGGACCCCAAGAAAAAAACAGGUCAUGUGGUACAUCAAGUAG